rnacentral:rRNA from 1 species
AGUGAACGCUGGCGGUAGGCCUAACACAUGCAAGUCGAACGGCAGCACAGUAAGAGCUUGCUCUUACGGGUGGCGAGUGGCGGACGGGUGAGGAAUACAUCGGAAUCUACUUUUUCGUGGGGGAUAACGUAGGGAAACUUACGCUAAUACCGCAUACGACCUACGGGUGAAAGCAGGGGAUCUUCGGACCUUGCGCGAUUGAAUGAGCCGAUGUCGGAUUAGCUAGUUGGCGGGGUAAAGGCCCACCAAGGCGACGAUCCGUAGCUGGUCUGAGAGGAUGAGCAGCCACACUGGAACAGAGACACGGCCCAGACCUCCACGGGAGGCCGCAGUGGGGAAUAUUGGACAAUGGGCGAAAGCCUGCUACAGACAUCGCGCGUGUGUGAAGAACGUUCUCGUGUUGUAAAGCUCUUUUGUGGGGAAAGAAACGACGCAGGUUAAUACCCCUCUGUUCUGACGGCACACAAAGAAUAAGCCCCGGAUAACUGCG